CCCCUACUUGUUAGUUGCCAUCAUUCAGUUGGGCGACUCUAGCGAGACUGCCGGUAAUAAACCGGAGGAAGGUGGGGAUGACGUCAAAUCAUCAUGCCCCUUAUGACCUGGGCUACACACGUGCUACAAUGGUUGGUACAACGAGUUGCGAGUCGGUGACGGCGAGCUAAUCUCUUAAAGCCAAUCUCAGUUCGGAUUGUAGGCUGCAACUCGCCUACAUGAAGUCGGAAUCGCUAGUAAUCGCGGAUCAGCACGCCGCGGUGAAUACGUUCCCGGGCCUU
rnacentral:rRNA from 1 species